rfam:Stegodyphus mimosarum contig29975, whole genome shotgun sequence.
GCCUUCGUAGUGUAGUGGUCAGCACGCUGGGCGUGUAUUCCAGAGCUCCGUGGUUCGAGUCCCGACGGAGAGCA